rnacentral:rRNA from 1 species
GAUGAACGCUGGCGGCGUGCCUAAUACAUGCAAGUCGAGCGAACGGACGAGAAGCUUGCUUUUCUGAUGUUAGCGGCGGACGGGUGAGUAACACGUGGAUAACCUACCUAUAAGACUGGGAUAACUUCGGGAAACCGGAGCUAAUACCGGAUAAUAUUUUGAACCGCAUGGUUCAAAAGUGAAAGACGGUCUUGCUGUCACUUAUAGAUGGAUCCGCGCUGCAUUAGCUAGUUGGUAAGGUAACGGCUUACCAAGGCAACGAUGCAUAGCCGACCUGAGAGGGUGAUCGGCCACACUGGAACUGAGACACGGACCAGACUCCUACGGGAGGCAGCAGUAGGGAAUCGUCCGCAAUGGGCGAAAGCCUGACGGAGCAACGCCGCGUGAGUGAUGAAGGUCUUCGGAUCGUAAAACUCUGUUAUUAGGUAAGAACAGAUUUGUAAGUAGCUGUGGACAUCUUGACGGUACCUAAUCAGAAAGCCACGGCUAACUACGUG